GCAUGAUCAUAGCUAGCUUGAAUUGGUUCUAUCUUGUUACCAAAGAAGUUGAACUCCCGGUUGAAAAGUGAAUAAUCAAUGAUUCCAAUGAUUUUUACUUCAGACCUAGGUGAAGGGGGUGAAGAUAAAAUGUUGAUGAGUUUACCAUCUUUUACCUUUGAGCUAAAUGCCUUAACCGCUAAUGUACUAGUUUCAGGGAAGCUGGCGGCAUCAA